CUUUGCAGGACAGUCGAUCGCCAGGAGCAGGGUUGGGCACCCCUGUUGUUAACCAUAUGGGUGGACACAGAGAGGCUGGACAGAGUUUAGCCCCACUUCAGCAGAUAUACUGUUGCUAUAGUCAUUCAGACAAUUCAACAAGAGCACAGGAUUGAGGGUCGAGAAUGUAAAGGAGGACCCAUAUUUACUCCGGAACAAGAGAGAACUAUUGUAAAUGUGGUUUUGGCCAAAAAUGUAAUACGGCUCAGAAAUACAAUCAAGCAUCCUCAAUUACCACACAAUUUUUAAUAAUGUCCAUCAGGUCUCCCUGUCAACACUGGGUGAACCCUUAACUUUCUGCAAUUUUUUUUUCUUUUUUUUUCUCCAUUUGAAAGAAAUUCUGAAAACUAAAAGACCUGUGGCAUGAAUAUUUGCAGAGAGCGUCUUGCUAAUUGAUGCUGAUCCAAUCCCACAUGAAUUCAGCUUCAUAGAUGAGGCUGGGUUUAACCUGACAAAAGAAGAAGAAGAAGAAAAAAAAAAAAAAAGAAACCUCAUUGGCCACAGAGGUGUUUUGAAUGUCCUGUGCAAACAUGGUUGUAACCUCACAAUGUGUGCUGCAAUCACCCAGAAUGGGGUCCUCCACUGCCAUGCCAACACGUGUCCUUACAACACAGCCCACAUAUUCACAUUUUUAGAUGGACUACACAACAUUGUUACAGCAGAGGACCAAAUGGAUGCAGAGCAGAAGAGAUGCAUUGUCGUCUGGGACAAUGUGUCAUUCCACCGAUCUGCUUUGCUGCUCUGGUCCAAAACUGGUUUUAUGAAUGUUCAUGAUUUUCAGUCCACUAUUUACCUCCCACAAUACGUUCCCUUUCUUAAACCCAUUGAGGAGUGUGCGUUUCUCUUUUUGGCGUGGUGGUGGAAGGUUUAUGACCUCCAGCCCUAUGACAGGAUACUCUUCAUUCAAGUAAUGGAAGAGGCCUGUGACCUAAUUGAAGCAGGAUCUGUGCAAGGAUGGAUUCCGCAUUCAAGAAGAUUCCCUUACUAUCUUGCGAGAGAUGAUACAGCCUGUGAGGUGGACAGAGUGCUAUGUCCAGAUCCAGCUAGGGUUAUGCUUAAGCUUCGUUUUCCCCUCAUGUAUUCUUUUUGUCUCCACAAACGUUUUUAUAUUCUAUACCCUAUAUAGUAUAAUGUUCUGAUUUUCUGUGCAAAGUGGAAAUGCAUGGAAGCACCUUUUGGAAAUGCAUGGCUGUAUUGACUGAUUUUAAAAUGUAAAGAGAAAUAUUCAAUGUGCAGUACUGGUGUUGUGAUUGGUCAUUCACAUACAUUUACUCUUACAAUAUCAAUGGGGAAAAAUAUCAUUAGAAAAGGAGAAACAUUACACGUGUUUAAGAUUACGCGCAACAGUGUUUAAGUGGUUCAAACAGGAAAGUUUGUGCUGAUUUGAUUUCUGAAAAAUUUGCCUGUACUGGGAAUAAAUGUUGUCAUUUUUAUACUUCUCAUGAUGUGUUGAAAUGACUGAAUGAGUAAAUAUGAUGUUACUGACACGGAGACGGAGAAUACAAACCACACAAUUUACAUUUGAGUG